CGGGGCCCUUCAGUCCCAACCUGCUUUGGGAGCAGGGAGUCGGGGGUUCAAAUCCCUCUGCCCCGACCA
rnacentral:tRNA from 1 species